GCACAAGCGGUGGAGCACGUGGUUUAAUUCGAUGACAAACCGAAGAACCUUACGUGGGUUUGACAUGUACGUGGUACGGAUAUGAAAGUUGAAGGACUCCGCUUUCGGGUGGAGAGCGUACACAGGUGCUGCAUGGCUGUCGUCAGCUCGUGUCGUGAGAUGUUGGGUUAAGUCCCGCAACGAGCGCAACCCUUGCCUUUAGUUGCCAGCAGUUCGGCUGGGCACUCUAAAGGGACUGCCGGUGUUAAACCGGAGGAAGGUGGGGAUGACGUCAAGUCCUCAUGGCCUUUAUGACCAGGGCUACACACGUACUACAAUGGCCGAUACAAAGGGCAGCGACACUGCGAGGUGAAGCCAAUCCCGUAAAAUCGGUCUCAGUCCGGAUUGGAGUCUGCAACUCGACUCCAUGAAGUUGGAAUCGCUAGUAAUCGUGGAUCAGCAUGCCACGGUGAAUACGUUCCCGGGCCUU
rnacentral:rRNA from 1 species